ensembl:snRNA U6 U6 spliceosomal RNA
GUGCUUGAUUGAGCAACACAUAUACUCAAAAUGGAAAAAUACAAAGAUUAGCAUAGCUCCUGCCCAAAGAUGACACCCAGAUCUGUGAAAUGUUCCACAUUUUU